rnacentral:lncRNA from 1 species
UUCUCAACUCGGUCAAGAUAAUCAAGACACUGAUGGUAAUAAAACAAGAUGUUCAAAUGAUCAAGUGUUGGAACAGAUAAACAUGCUAUGCAAUGAUUUGAGGAUGCCAGAUCAUGUAGCUUCAGCCGAGAGCACCUCCAUGUCCACCUUAAGUUGUCAAAGUGAUGUAUGGAAGUAAGAAUAUAAUUCCUUCAUUAUCUGCAGUACCUAGUUCCUUUAUGUCUGCAGUGUAGUCAUCAAAAUUAGAAAACAUUGAGAUAAUUUGCCAGUUGAUGUAAAUAAUGAAAUAGUUAAAUUGAUGGCUUGUACUACUAGCUGCCAUAGUGAACAAUAUUUGUAGAUAUAUGCAUAUUAACAAAUAUCAUUUACGAUUGAAAGGUAUUAUGUUUAGUAAUAUGAAUAUAUAGACAUGAUACAUGAUAUAGUAUUAAUGUCCAAAGCAAAAUGGUAAUUGGCAUUGUCAUACUUUUUCACAGCUCAUUGGAAGUUUAAGAUACCAGCAUAAUGUCAUGUAAUCCCUCUGCAACUGUUGUCAUCUGCGAUAAAACGAGGUGUUUCGUCUGAUAUUCAUAGACAUUCUGCUAAUUAUAAGCCAUCCAAACCAACCAUUUUGUAGUCUACAAUCAGGAAGAUCACAUACGAGAGCUAAAAUACAAUUAUGCAGUAAAUAUGUAACAGCAUCACAUAAUUAACAUGCAUGAAGGGCUAAUUACAUCUUAUAUAUCAAUAUAACAUACAAUGUCUCGAAUUACAACUUCAACAUACUUAAUGCCAAUAAGUUGAAAGCUUCCGACGAAUAAUAUGAAGAAAAAGAAGCAACACGAGGAUAUCUUGAUCAGCUCACAGACAUGAAUGCUGAUUAUGAAGUCAUUACAAAAUCACAUCCUGAACCUGAAAUUCGCUAAUAAUCUAAAUUGCAGUCUUAAGUUUAAGGGAAUGAAAAAAUGGACUGCAUGGAUUAUCAGGGCGUCUGCAAUUAAUUUUUAGUGCAUCAUAUACAACGUAUGUCCUAAAAUCAGUAAACUCAGUUAUCUACUCUUACAAUCUCCUUGAUCUUGCGCCUUUGACCUCAUUAAAUCUUCCAUUUACUUCUCUUCUGUGCCAAUGUGAUUUUAGGAUGUACAAAAUAUAAAAUUUGAACUGUUUUUCCAUAGUGGUAUCAACAAAUAAUGGAGUAAAGACAUGCUAAAAUUAAACAAUCAAUAUAGAUUUCUCAAUAGAUAGCCGAAUCAAUACCUAGCUUUCAUCACAUUUUCUCCAGGAAUAUAGGAUUCUUCACAACAUGGAUGGAAAUUCACCUGCUUUUGUUGAUUAAAGAACAUAAAGAACUUUAACAUUACCUUAGAGACUUCGACUGGAUUCAUUGUAGCAUUGCCUAGUUCUGUCCGGGGAGAACUAGAGUGACACAGAGAAAAGCUCAAGGCAUUCACUAUAGCUAGGAAACAAGAUAUGAGGUCAAUGUAUCUUAUUCAAAGGCAAGGCUAUAUACAGAAACAAACUGACAUCUAAUGUUGAAAUCCACGAAAUUUUGCACCAAGACUAGGAAACAAGAAUAAUGUACAUUGUCGUUCGGAUGGAUGGAUCAUGAACAAUAAUAAUAUAGCAAGACUAUAUAUAAGUAUAGAAUAGUAACUACUCCAAUACAAACUAAUGCUACUAAAAGGGUUGUGGGACUGGGGAUGGACCUCGAGAUGGGUUUCGGGGAGGGGGGGCUCUUGGAUCUGUGGAGCAUUUG